UACGUAGGGGGCGAGCGUUGUCCGGAAUCAUUGGGCGUAAAGGGCGCGUAGGCGGACUUAUAAGUCUGAUGUGAAAGUGCGGUGCUUAACACCGUAAAGCAUUGGAAACUGUGAGUCUUGAGGACAGGAGAGGAAAGUGGAAUUCCACGUGUAGCGGUGAAAUGCGUAGAGAUGUGGAGGAACACCAGUGGCGAAGGCGACUUUCUGGACUGUAACUGACGCUGAGGCGCGAAAGCGUGGGGAGCGAACAGG
rnacentral:rRNA from 1 species